rnacentral:rRNA from 1 species
UACGAAGGGGGCUAGCGUUGUUCGGAAUUACUGGGCGUAAAGCGCGUGUAGGCGGGUCUUUAAGUCAGGGGUGAAAUGCCAGGGCUCAACCUUGGAACUGCCUUUGAUACUGGAGACCUUGAGUCCGGGAGAGGUGAGUGGAAUUGCGAGUGUAGAGGUGAAAUUCGUAGAUAUUCGCAAGAACACCAGUGGCGAAGGCGGCUCACUGGCCCGGAACUGACGCUGAGACGCGAAAGCGUGGGGAGCAAACAGG